UACGUAGGGGGCAAGCGUUGUCCGGAAUCAUUGGGCGUAAAGAGCGUGUAGGCGGCCCGGUAAGUCCGCUGUAAAAGUCAAAGGCUUAACCUUUGAAUGUCAGUGGAUAUUGCCGGGCUAGAGUCCGGAAGAGGCGAGUGGAACUCCUGGUGUAGCGGUGGAAUGCGCAGAUAUCAGGAAGAACACCGAUGGCGAAGGCAGCUCUCUGGGACGGUACUGACGCUGAGACGCGAAAGCGUGGGGAGCAAACAGG
rnacentral:rRNA from 1 species